CUGUAUCACACAGAGACUCUUCACCUUCUUCUGAAGCAGACCUUCCACGGAGGCGAAGCUCCGGACGAACCAUCAGCGCUGAUUAGGGACUUAGACAUAUUCGAUUUCUCACGCUUAUGACUCUGUAUAACCGUUGCCACUUUACUUAAUAAAUCCAAGGUCCUCGUGCCGACAGACUUUAUUACCUCUCCGUCUCAUUUUAUCUGGUCCAGUAACUAGACAGACCGUUUUUCCCUUCAAUUUGGUGACCCACGACGUGAUUUUUUUUUUAAUUGAACCGCAACUGGGAAACGAGAGACGGAGAGCGGCACGACCUCGGGACCCCGGAGCACCGGACCGAUUCCUGCAGUCUCACCUCGGGCCCAACAAAAGUCUCUGUCCAUAGGUUUCACCUGAACAACCCCUCUGCUGGCCGAGAAAAGGAACUACCACUGGUUUCUCCCACACCCAGCCCCCGGAGCACGCUCGCUUCAAGGCGUUAUGGCCGCACCCAAAGUGGGAGGGAGACACGCAGGGAGAGAGAGCGUGUUCUCCUGAAGGAGGGAGAGGGUCACAGGGAGACACGCAGUG
ensembl:lncRNA